rnacentral:rRNA from 1 species
UACGUAGGUGGCAAGCGUUAUCCGGAAUUAUUGGGCGUAAAGCGUGCGCAGGCGGUUUUGUAAGUCUGUCGUGAAAUCCCCGGGCUCAACCUGGGAAUGGCGAUGGAGACUGCAAGGCUAGAGUUUGGCAGAGGGGGGUAGAAUUCCACGUGUAGCAGUGAAAUGCGUAGAGAUGUGGAGGAACACCGAUGGCGAAGGCAGCCCCCUGGGUCAAAACUGACGCUCAUGCACGAAAGCGUGGGGAGCAAACAGG